rnacentral:rRNA from 1 species
CAGCCGCCACGGUAAUACGUAGGUGGCAAGCGUUGUCCGGAAUUAUUGGGCGUAAAGGGCUCGCAGGCGGUUUCUUAAGUCUGAUGUGAAAGCCACCGGCUCAACCGGGGAGGGUCAUUGGAAACUGGGAAACUUGAGUGCAGAAGAGGAGAGUGGAAUUCCACGUGUAGCGGUGAAAUGCGUAGAGAUGUGGAGGAACACCAGUGGCGAAGGCGACUCUCUGGUCUGUAACUGACGCUGAGGAGCGAAAGCGUGGGGAGCGAACAGGAUUAGAUACCCCCGUAGUCCCUGUCUCUUAUAC